rnacentral:rRNA from 1 species
UUCCGGUUGAUCCUGCCGGACCCCACUGCUAUCGAGAUGGGGCUAAGCCAUGCUAGUUGAACGACCCGAACUAUGGCGGGAAGUGGCACACUGCUCAGUAACACGUAGCUAACCUACCCUUUGGACGGGUACAACCCCGGGAAACUGAGGUUAAUACCCGAUAGGUGUGGAUUCCUGGAAUGGUACCACGCCCAAAAGUAACGCGCCCAUGUGUGCGUCUACGCCAAAGGAUGGGGCUGCGGCCGAUCAGGCAGUUGGUGAGGUAACGGCUCACCAAACCUUUGACCGGUACGGGCCAUGAGAGUGGUAGCCCGGAGAUGGGCACUGAGACAAGGGCCCAGGCCCUACGGGGCGCAGCAGGCGCGAAACCUCCACAAUUCACGAAAGUGAGAUGGGGUUAUCUCGAGUGCCGCCUGAUGAAGGCGGCUUUUCCACUGUGUAAUAAGCCGUGGGAAUAAGAGGGGGGCAAGACUGGUGUCAGCCGCCGCGGUAACACCAGCCCCUCGAGUGGUGGGGAUGAUUAUUUGGCCUAAGGCGUCCGUAGCUGGCUCCGUAAAUCUCUCGUUAAAUCCAACGUCCUAAGCGUUGGGCUGCGAGAGAGACUGCGAAGCUAGAGGGUGGGAGAGGUCAGCGGUAUUCCUGGGGUAGGGGCGAAAUCCAUUGAUCCCAGGA